AUUGAACGCUGGCGGCAUGCCUUACACAUGCAAGUCGAACGGUAACGCGGGGCAACCUGGCGACGAGUGGCGAACGGGUGAGUAAAGUAUCGGAACGUGCCCAAUAGUGGGGGAGUAGCCCGGCGAAAGCCGGAUUAAUACCGCAUGAGACCUGAGGGUGAAAGCGGGGGACGUCGCAAGAGCCUCGCGCUGUUGGAGCGGCCGAUAUCAGAUUAGGUAGUUGGUGGGGUAAAGGCCUACCAAGCCGACGAUCUGUAGCUGGUCUGAGAGGACGACCAGCCACACUGGGACUGAGACACGGCCCAGACUCCUACGGGAGGCAGCAGUGGGGAAUUUUGGACAAUGGGCGCAAGCCUGAUCCAGCCAUGCCGCGUGCGGGAAGAAGGCCUGGUGUAACGC
rnacentral:rRNA from 1 species